UCUUUACGAAUUGAGCUAGUGCACUAGCAUUCGGCGCCCCAAACUUAAUGGCGGUCAAACGCGGUCUUCAUAUAAAUUAGGGCCAAUUUCAAUUCCGUCUUCCCAGGGUUCUUUCUCUUUUCUUAUAAUCAGGGAUUUUUCGGUCGUCGGUCCGAGCAGCCGAUCGAAAGAAGAAGAAAACCAAAAUGAUGGAACCGAAAUGAAUAGCCGUCGCACAAGACAUUCAUAAUAAAGAAGAAGUUGGCCAAGAAGAAGAGGCAAAAUAGGCCUAUCCCUCACUGGAUCCGAAUGCGCACAGAUAAUACCAUCAGGUAUAAUGCAAAGCGCAGGCACUGGCGUCUACAAAGCUCGGGUUUUGAGGUUCUUGGUUGUUGUUUGUGUUUUGUAGCUUGAUUUGUGACUAAUUUUAGGUUAGUUAGUUACAGUUAAAGAAAUAGAUUAUACACAACUUGUGGGUUUGCAUUUAAAUCAAGUAAAUUCCAGUUUGUGUGAGGAAAUUGUAUGGGUUAGGUUUAAAGAUAAUCUUUUGAAUUCAGGUUUUGUUUCAACUAUAUGAGUUCUUUUAAUGAGUUCUGGAUUUAAGUUUUGCUUUGAGUAGGAAA